CUUUCCUUUAAAAUCUGAGAACAACCACAGGCAUGGCUCAGCUUUGCCUGUGACAUCGGGGAAAAGAGCAAGUGGCUAUUUCUACACUCAGUGUUCAGAAGCCAGUGAGCACUAAGAAUGGUUUGUAGCCUGACAUUU
ensembl:snoRNA LOC120094891 small nucleolar RNA SNORA43